AACGAACGCUGGCGGCAGGCUUAACACAUGCAAGUCGAGCGCCCCGCAAGGGGAGCGGCAGACGGGUGAGUAACGCGUGGGAAUCUACCCAGCUCUACGGAAUAACUCAGGGAAACUUGUGCUAAUACCGUAUACGUCCGAUAGGAGAAAGAUUUAUCGGAGUUGGAUGAGCCCGCGUUGGAUUAGCUAGUUGGUGGGGUAAUGGCCUACCAAGGCGACGAUCCAUAGCUGGUCUGAGAGGAUGAUCAGCCACACUGGGACUGAGACACGGCCCAGACUCCUACGGGAGGCAGCAGUGGGGAAUAUUGGACAAUGGGCGAAAGCCUGAUCCAGCCAUGCCGCGUGAGUGAUGAAGGCCCUAGGGUUGUAAAGCUCUUUCACCGGUGAAGAUAAUGACGGUAACCGGAGAAGAAGCCCCGGCUAACUUCGUG
rnacentral:rRNA from 2 species